rnacentral:lncRNA from 1 species
CAUCAUAAAUCUCUUACCCUGACAUUCUCUGCCUUAUCUCAUAGAAACCGAAGCGCAGGGAAGGUACAUUCAGAUUAAACAAAAUCAGAUGAAACAAAAGGUCAAGGAAGAGGAAAGUGCAAAGGCCAAUGUGUUUGAAGAUGGCUUGGAGCAAGGACAUUUCUGUCCUCAAGACCUCCUAUUUGACCCAGAGCGGAAGGAGAUUUUUGACCGUUUUUUGAAGUUAAGUCCAGGAUCCUCCCCAAACCUCCACCACCCUGUGCUGACAGGGGUCUCCUACCAGAAGUGGAAGGACACCUGAACAAAAUGCAAGGAUUUUCAUAGUAACAGCUCACAAAAACUGAAGACCCAGACAUUCAGACAGACAGCCAGAGACAGACAGAGCAAGCCUGACAGCCAGAACCAGACAACCAGCCAGAGCCAAACUGCACCAGAGAGUCAGCCAGAGCCAGCCUGCCAGAGCCAGACAGCCAACCAGAGCCAGCCGGAGCAAGCAGGAGACAAACAGCCAGCCAGAGCCAGACUGCACCAGACAGCCAGCCAGAACCAGACUGCACCAGACAGCCAGCCAGAGCCAGACUGCACCAGACAGCCAGCCAGAGCCAGACUGAACCAGACAGCCAGCCAGAGCCAGACUCGGCAGAGGGGGAUGAAACACAUGGUAAUACCUCAUCCCAGCGUGACAGAAGACCGUGAGAAGAAAACAGAGAGAGUGACAAAGAAUGACAGAGAAAUAGAAACAGAA